GACGAACGCUGGCGGCGUGCCUAAUACAUGCAAGUCGAACGAACUCUGGUUUUUGAUUGACGGUGCUUGCACCUGAUUGAUUAAACAUUUGAGUGAGUGGCGAACUGGUGAGUAACACGUAGGAAACCUGCCCAGAAGCGGGGGAUAACACCUGGAAACAGAUGCUAAUACCGCAUAACAACUUGAACCGCAUGGUUCGAGUUUGAAAGAUGGCUCUGCUAUCACUUCUGGAUGGUCCUGCGGCGUAUUAGCUAGAUGGUGAGGUAACGGCUCACCAUGGCAAUGAUACGUAGCCGACCCGAGAGGGUAAUCGGCCACAUUGGGACUGAGACACGGCCCAAACUCCUACGGGAGGCAGCAGUAGGGAAUCUUCCACAAUGGACGAAAGUCUGAUGGAGCAACGCCGCGUGAGUGAAGAAGGGUUCCGGCUCGUAAAACUCUGUUGUUAGAGAAGAACAUAUCUGAGAGUAACUGUUCAGGUAUUGACGGUAUCUAACCAGAAAGCCACGGCUAACUACGUGCCAGCCGCCGCGGUAA
rnacentral:rRNA from 1 species